UAAGGAAUAUUGGACAAUGGACGCAAGUCUGAUCCAGCCAUGCCGCGUGAAGGAUGAAUGCCCUCUGGGUUGUAAACUUCUUUUAUAGGGGAAGAAAGAUACUUUUUUUAAGGUAGUUGACGGUACCCUAUGAAUAAGCACCGGCUAACUCCGUGCCAGCAGCCGCGGUAAUACGGAGGGUGCAAGCGUUAUCCGGAUUUACUAGGUUUAAAGGGUGCGUAGGCGGGCAUGUAAGUCAGUGGUGAAAUACCGGAGCUUAACUUCGGAACUGCCAUUGAUACUAUAUGUCUUGAAUAUUGUGGAGGUAAGCGGAAUAUGUCAUGUAGCGGUGAAAUGCAUAGAUAUGACAUAGAACACCAAUUGCGGAGGCAGCUUGCUACGCAAAUAUUGACGCUGAGGCACGAAAGCGUGGGGAUCAAACA
rnacentral:rRNA from 1 species